CAUAAGGUAGUUUAGUUAAAAUAUUAACAUUGGAAGUUAAAGAUUGAGUAUGAUUCUUACCUUUUGA
rnacentral:tRNA from 1 species